rnacentral:rRNA from 1 species
GACGAACGCUGGCGGCGUGCUUAACACAUGCAAGUCGAACGGAAAGGCCCUGCGUUUGUUGGGUGCUCGAGUGGCGAACGGGUGAGUAACACGUGAGUAACCUGCCCUUGACUUUGGGAUAACUUCAGGAAACUGGGGCGAAUACCGGAUAGGAGCUCCUGCUGCAUGGUGGGGGUUGGAAAGUGUCGGCGGUUGGGGAUGGACUCGCGGCUUAUCAGCUUGUUGGUGGGGUAGUGGCUUACCAAGGCUUUGACGGGUAGCCGGCCUGAGAGGGUGACCGGCCACAUUGGGACUGAGAGACGGACCAGACUCCUACGGGAGGCAGCAGUGGGGAAUAUUGCACAAUGGGCGGAAGCCUGAUGCAGCAACGCCGCGUGCGGGAUGACGGCCUUCGGGCUGUAAACCGCUUUCGCCUGUGACGAAGAGGGAGUGACGGUAAUGGGUAAAGAAGCAACGGCUAACUACGUG